rfam:Clostridium magnum DSM 2767 CLMAG_contig000007, whole genome shotgun sequence.
UGGGUAGUAUCCUGUCGGAGCUGCACCGAGUUGUUUAUUAUUUUUAUAAAUAUUCUGCUCAUAUCUAUUAGAAUGAGACAACUU